AUGUUGAAUGGGAGACAGCUCAUGCCUGAUGCCUCCACCUGUGUUGACAGGGAGUGUAUUUAUUUCCACAUGUAGGACUCUGGACACUCUCUGUCAAACCAAACAGAGAGAGCCUGGGGUUGAAGAAACUUAUGUAUGUUAAAUCACAAUUUUAAUCUAGCUCUUUGUUUUGACUUGAUAUUACGUGAUAUUGAUAUAACUCUCGUUUUGCAAUUGAAGUCAAAUUGCUUCUACAGUACAGCGGUUUGACAGUACAGCGGUUUGACAGCGCAGCGAUGACGUCAGCAGGAAGCGCGAGCCAGUCAGAGCGAGAACGAGCAUCGCUCCGUGUCACCGGGUUGAGCGCGAGAAACUCCCAUCAAAUUCUUGGCAAAACUAUCUGAACAGCAAAACGAACUGAGUGACAUUCAGAAAAACGUCCAUACAAACAGUGUCGAACGUGACGUGAGGAGGAGCGUUCCACCUGUGUGACGUGAGAACAUCGGCAAAGUCCAGCGAAGAGGAUCUACAGAUUCCACAGACGACGAGCCAACAGCAGAUGUUUGGGGAACCUCGCAACAGCUGGAUGGAUGACAGCUUGCGAGGAUGGGUGCUGAGGAGUGGUGUUCUGCGAUCCUGACUGCUUGCUUCCGUAUCCACCGGGGCGGUUGCCAUGUCUGCAGUGGCGAGGGAUUCCCCUCAGCUGAUGGGCGAGGCAACAGACACACCCGGCUGCCCAUUGCUGCAGAGAGACGAGCUGGGUGAGGGGCAGCGCUCCCUCUGACUCGGCAGAAAUCCGAAGGGGUGGAGCUGGGCCCCUUCUGGCAGUACUGCCCCGGCCGGGUCCUUGAGAGCAGCACACAAUAUGGCCUAUGCUGACAGCUUAUUGACUCCCGAGGUAGGAUGCUGAUGCAAAAAAAAAAAAGUUUGCGUUCUCUACUAUUAAACGCAGCCCCUGACCCGGCAUCUUAGAGCAGACUUCUGCUGAACUCAACAAAAGAAAAACGAUUUUAAUAGAGCUGUGACACAAACACUACUAAUCACUGAAUAAAACGACAGAAAUAUGUGCUAAAUGUUACUCACAAUCCUUCUAUUAACACAGAGAAGGGGCCAAAAGCAGCCUCCUAAAGGAUAUUAUAGCCAAUCUAAGCACCAAAGGACAGUGGGCCUUGUCAUGCAUCAGUCCAUUGUUACUCAUCCUAAAUCCAAGCUGUACUCCUCGGUGAUCUCAUUGUUCAGGUAGUGUUAGUACAGUGAGACGCAGCCUUUGUGAAGCUGUGAUAAUACGCUGCCUAUGAAAUGGUGCACUACGGGUGGGCCGGUGCUGCAUCUUGGCAGAUGCUGCGGCACGCCUCUGUGUGGGAACCUGCUGGAGGAGGUCGAGGACGCAGGGAUGCGGCUGCUGCACGGCAUCGAUUCGAGCGGCCCGGCGCUCCACGCCGCGGCUCUGCGGGCGAGAGACGGGAGAACGGAGCGUUUUGCUGCAAUAUGACAUCCACGGAGCGUUCUGGGGGGGGGGGGAAGCCGUCCGUCCACCAACACCCACGUCUGAAAAGGUUCGAAAUGGGCUCAUAACGCUGAUGUGCUGAGUCAUUUUACCAUGAGUCACUGAACACACCCUCUGCCACAGACCGUUCUGUUUCCCUGUCCCUGGAGGCUCUGGGUUUAUGACAUCGAUCAAUCUCCUCCUCACAAUAGCUUUACAGAAUCUUUAUUGUUAUUGUGCCACACUCAUGCAUAGUGUAUGUCUGCAGUUCUUAUUUCUGUAAAUGAAAUGGCGAAUAACACAAAAUAAUCUGUGAAUGUAUUUUAUCUUCUUAGAGGAUGAUGAAAGUAUUUGAUCACUAACACUACGAAAAUAUGCAGUUGCUUAUUUAAACAUUUCAACAUCCAGAUUUAGAGAGAGACGCUGGAAAUAUAUACUGAAAAAUAAUAUUUAUUUUGUCACAUGUAAAUGAUCAUUAGUUACAUUUAUUUAUAUGAUGGCUUACAGAAAACAAGUAACAACAAUGUUUGCUGAUGCUAAGAUGCUGCAUAUUCACAAAGUACCAUCCGUUUGUGAAUGUGUCUGCUCUCUUGCAUUGAUCUGGGUUCAUCAUACAUCCUGUAGGUGUGGGUGGUGGCCCUACAAGCUGCUUCCUUUGUAGAAAAUGUCUUCUGUUAUAUACAUAAUGAACAAUCAGUAGAUUUGUCAUAAAAGUUGGGCAAAGGAAAGAUAAGGAACCGUCUGUUUAUAAUGUUUUUCAGCAAUGUGCUGCUUUUGAUCUCAAGUUUAUUCAUAAAGUGCUGAAUAGGCAAAGAUAAUCAUAAUGUGUAAGUAGAAAUUUUCAUUUUAGUUACUUUUUGGGUGGUGGGGUUUUUCUUCAGUAACUUAAAUCCUGUUAUUUACAUUAUGCCUACAAGUCCCAUGGUGGAGAUAAGUGUGUGUGCUGAAAUCACAACAGUGAGCAGGUGACGCCAGCAUCUUCGGAGUGGUCACAGUUGUGCACGUUCCAGGAUAUAUGGGAGCACUGGAUCAGGGAGGCCUCGGCACCGCUGCACUUCAGAUUGUCCAGCAGGAUCGUCCCCGCCCCAGGCCCGAAGGAAGCCUCCCCCCGGGCUGCCGUGGCCUCCCCGCAGCCCAGCUGGCGACACACCACCCGAGCGUCACGGAGGUCCCAGGCGUCGUCGCACACCGUGCCCCAUCCAGAAUUUAGAGGGUUGUGGGGUGGUUGUGGUGGGGAUGCCUGCUGUCACCUGGAAGUCACGUGUCACUGCAGUGUAAGCUGGUUGAAAGAAGACGAAACAAGAAAACCUCCGUUCAGCAUCCAUACUGUCUGUGCAUUUUACAUAGGCCCGCCUCAGGUUAGACAUGUCCAGGCUUACGCGCACAGAUGACUCCAGCAUCCUCGUGAUGGCCGCAGUUGUGCUGACCCCAGCCCAGGUUGAAGCACUGGGACAGAGCCUGCUCGGUGCCGCUGCAGGCCACGUUGUCCAGCAGGAUGGGGCCCGAGCCGUAACCAAAGUAGGCCAUGACCUUAGCGGAGACAGCCGGGCCACAGCCCAGCUGCCUGCAAACCACCUCGGCGUUGGUUAUGUCCCAGUCAUCGUCACACACCGUCCCCCAGACUGUUUUGUAGAGGACCUCAACGCGACCCUGACAGGUGCUGUUGCCGUUCACCACGCGGAUGGGCGCUGCGUCUGCAUGGAAAUAAACAGACAAAUGGAUGAAUGAUCACACUGUUAGAGCACAAACGGGACAAAUAUUCCGUUUGAUUUUGUUACCUUUAACCACAGCAGUUGUGACAGUAGUUGUUGUACUGGGUGACUUGGUGACAAGAGCGCUGUCUGUGGCUGGAGCAAACAAAACACAAUGAUCAUGGAGAGUUUGGUACAGUACACGCAGAGGAGAGAUAUGGCUCCCCCUGUUGGUCAUUGGGCCAAAGUGCACACGCAACAAGGAUGUGACACGCUUAUGUAAUGGAGUAAGAAUCAGUGUGUGGUCGCUGGAUACCUGCUGUGUUUUGUGUUCCCCAGAUUGCUCUCUGGUUCUGUGUUGCUGAAGAAGGUGUAGUGGUUGAUCCUGGAGCAGGCAGAAGAAAAGACGUACCAUAUGUGAACGCUUCAUUAUCUUCAUUUACCUUCAUGCUUUUUCAAAGGCAUGACAGAUUACAGCUGAGUGUACCUACCUAAACUGGAGUUCUCUCUGGAUGGAGUAGUGAGACUCUCAAAGCCCUUUGCGCCGAUCACAGCUGGUUCUAACGGUACAAUAAAAAGGAAACUGACAUGAAAGGAAGAAAAUUCACCACGACUUCAGCUGACUUCAAUCCAACGGCCUGACCUCUGCAGGUGACAGCCACGUCCUCGUAAUGAUAGCAGUUGUGCACGUCCCACGGCAGACUCCUGCACUGGCUCAGGUCUGUUUCGUUCCCCCUGCAGUCCACGUUGUCCAGAUGGAUGGGCCCCGUUCCCUGGCCAAACUGGGAGCUGGUGCCCACCGCCACCGCCACGCCGCAUCCCAGCUGCCUGCACACCACGUUGGCGUCCACCAUGUCCCACUCGUCAUCGCACACCGUCCCCCACGAGUCGUUGUAGCGCACCUCCACUCUUCCCUCACACCGGUCGCGUCCAUUCACCAGUUGCACUUAUAACAGACAGGCAGAGUUUCCUUUAGGGCUGAUUCAUCCAGCCGUAUUUGAACACAUUGUUGCUCAGGGUUUGGCCUGCUCUAUUGUAGCUCAAAACGACCUUAUACAUUUGACUGGCAUGCCUCUAAUGGUCAAUCAGAGUCAUUGCUGUCAACAGUGUAAUCCUACCACAAAGAACCACCUGACUCUCUGACUCUCUGGAAGUGAGUGUGGUGGAUGUUGAAUAAAUGAGGAUUAGAGCAUUA